GCUUGUGUGGCGGAACUGGUAGACGCGCUGGACUCAAAAUCCAGUGGUAGCAAUAUCGUGUGGGUUCGAGUCCCACCACAAGCACCA
rnacentral:tRNA from 2 species